rfam:Stachybotrys chlorohalonata IBT 40285 unplaced genomic scaffold scaffold1832, whole genome shotgun sequence.
AGGGAAUUGGCCGAGUGGUUUAAGGCGAUAAAUUUGAGCUUUAUUAUGUUUAAUUACUGCAUCCGUUCGAAUCGGAUAUUCUCUG